CUGGAGCGAGAGACUGAGACAAGAAAAUUAUUUAUUACGUCAAAAAAAAAAAAAAAAAAAAAAGAAAUGCUAUACCCAGCGGCUGGGUUGGAGAAAUGGGUUAAGGCAAGUACUUUGUUUCCCUGUGGAUUUUAUUACAGUGGGUAGAUUUUUGUAAUGUAUAGACUUUAAAUACAAAA